rnacentral:rRNA from 1 species
GUGCUUGCACCUGGUGGAUGAGUGGCGAACGGGUGAGUAAUACGUGAGUGACCUUCCUUGGACUCUGGGAUAAGCCCGGGAAACUGGGUCUAAUACCGGAUACGACCAGUCCUCGCAUGGGGUGCUGGUGGAAAGGGUUUGUACUGGUUCUUGAUGGGCUCACGUCCUAUCAGCUUGUUGGUGAGGUAAUGGCUUACCAAGGCGACGACGGGUAGCCGGCCUGAGAGGGUGACCGGCCACACUGGGACUGAGACACGGCCCAGACUCCUACGGGAGGCAGCAGUGGGGAAUAUUGCACAAUGGGCGCAAGCCUGAUGCAGCGACGCCGCGUGGGGGAUGACGGCCUUCGGGUUGUAAACCUCUUUCAGCAGGGAAGAAGCGAAAGUGACGGUACCUGCAGAAGAAGCGCCGGCUAACUACGUGCCAGCAGCCGCGGUAAUACGUAGGGCGCAAGCGUUGUCCGGAAUUAUUGGGCGUAAAGAGCUCGUAGGCGGUUUGUCGCGUCUGCUGUGAAAGCCCGGGGCUCAACCCCGGGUGUGCAGUGGGUACGGGCAGGCUGGAGUGCAGUAGGGGAGACUGGAAUUCCUGGUGUAGCGGUGAAAUGCGCAGAUAUCAGGAGGAACACCGAUGGCGAAGGCAGGUCUCUGGGCUGUUACUGACGCUGAGGAGCGAAAGCAUGGGGAGCGAACAGGAUUAGAUACCCUGGUAGUCCAUGCCGUAAACGUUGGGCACUAGGUGUGGGGGACAUU